rnacentral:lncRNA from 1 species
CUCUCUGCUCUGGAUGAAGGAUUAGAAGAGCCAGGCAAGGAACCAGGGGUCUUGUUAGGAAGUUAUUCUAGUGGUCCAGCAAGAAGGAUGGAAGGCAACAUCAACAAAUCAACUGGGGGCACAGUAUGUUUGAGAUACUCUAGAAGAUCCAGGUCCUGGGUUGUCUUGGCUCCCAGAGACGUCGAUCUUAGUGAUCGCUAAGCAGCAUCCAGCAGGAAUAAUACGUGACUUUAGCAACUCCUGGGGCUUUCCAAAAAGGCCUAGAGGGAUCCCACCCUGCCCAGGAUUCAGGAGAGAAAACAACCUUCCUUCCUCAUACAGUUAAUAAAUGUUAAGUAUGGUGGUAAGCAUUGAAGAUAAAAGGAAAAUUUCAAAAUAAAAGAUUAUAUGUUAAGACCAAGAAACAAAAUCCAGCUAUCUGUAGCAUACAUAAGACAGAUCUGAAACAUAAUAAUAAAAAAGAGUCAAAAGAACAAGAAAUUGCUAAUCCAAAUUGAAAAACAGAAAUCACAGUCUUAAUGCUGGGGAAAUUUGAAUUUACAGAUGAAAGCAUCGUUUGAUAAGAGAAAGAUUGAAACUGCCUUUGCAAAAUUAUGAAAGUAAGGGAAAUCUGACAUAGUUGACUCUAUUUUGCUUCUAACUUUCAAGCUAUCAUGGGUCACUCUUGGGUGUAGACUGAGUUGGCUUUGGGAGAAUUUAAUUUAUAGUUUAACCUUAAAGCAAAGAUGAUAAUAGCACUUUCCAAAACUAUUAAUAAACCACCUUUGCAAGUAAAACGAAUGAAAGGCCACAUGGUUAGGAUUAUGAGAGGGGCCCGAAUUCUGCUAAGAUGUGGGUAUAGUUUCUAUAAUCCCUUACUGCUCAGGAAUCAUGUGGCCAGAGGUCACAAGAUCUGUGACUUCCCCAAUUACUCCUAUAGAUAGCAUCACUAUUAUAAAACAUAAGAUUUUUUUUUUUUUUUUUAGAUGGAAUCUCACUGUGUCGCCCAGGCUGGAGUGCAGUGGCGUGAUCUCUGCUCGCUGCAAGCUCCGCCUCCCGGGUUCAUGCCAUUCUCCCACCUCGGUCUCCCGAGUACCUGGGACUACAGGUGCCUGCCACCACACCCAGCUAAUUUUGUUUUUGUAUUUUUAGUAGAGACAGGGUUUUACCUUGUUAGCCAGGAUGGUCUCAAUCUCCUGACCUCGUGAUGCACCCACCUUGGCCUCCCAAAGUGCUGGGAUUACAGGUGUGAGACACCACGCCUGGCGGAUUGGUUGUUUGAGAUAUCUUUCAGACUGACUCCACCUGGACUCUGGACUCAUGACUCAACUACUCCUGUGGCCCCACCCAGAGGCUGACUCAGCACACAAGGACUGUAUCCCAUAUCCCUAUGAUUUGAUUUCCAACCAAUCAACAUUCACCAUUCCCUAGUCCCCUGCCGACCAAACUAUCCUUGAAAACCCCUAACCUCUGUUAGAUAUGAGUUCUAAAUUUCUUUUCAAAGAGACAGUAUGUCAAUAUGUUCAAUUCUUUGCCUUCUACUUUUAAACUUAACUUCCUCGUAAAGCAACCUUUUUUGAUUACCUGCUCCACCCCAACUCUUUCCGAUUACCUGCUGUAUCAUAACCAUUUUUCCCACUCACCCCAUCUCUCUCUUUAAACCACUCACCCCAUCUCUCUCUUUAAAUUAGCCAGUCAGAAUUAGUGUAGCCUGUGCAGUCUAACCCUAGCCAAUAGGGGAACGACACAGCAGUAGGGGCCACAUGCGUCAGGGAUAAGUACCCCUUCCCCUCCCUUGUCCAAGUGUGCACUCACUGUGGCUCGGUCUGUAAGGGUGCACCCUUCUAUAGAAGUCACU